rnacentral:rRNA from 1 species
UGGGGAAUUGUUCGCAAUGGGCGCAAGCCUGACGACGCAACGCCGCGUGGAGGAUGAAGGUCUUCGGAUUGUAAACUCCUGUUGCCCGGGACGAAUGGCUCCGACCUAACACGUCGGAGAUUGACGGUACCGGGUGAGGAAGCCCCGGCUAACUCUGUGCCAGCAGCCGCGGUAAUACAGAGGGGGCAAGCGUUGUUCGGAAUUACUGGGCGUAAAGGGCGCGUAGGCGGCCUGCUAAGUCGAACGUGAAAUCCCCGAGCUCAACUCGGGAACUGCGUCCGAUACUGGCAGGCUUGAAUCCGGGAGAGGGAUGUGGAAUUCCAGGUGUAGCGGUGAAAUGCGUAGAUAUCUGGAGGAACACCGGUGGCGAAGGCGACAUCCUGGACCGGCAUUGACGCUGAGGCGCGAAAGCCAGGGGAGCAAACGGGAUUAGAUACCCCGGUAGUCCUGGCCCUAAACGAUGAAUGCUUGGUGUGGCGGGUAUCGAUCCCUGCCGUGCCGAAGCUAACG